CUCCUCUCAGGGUCACACCUGGAGAGUUACCAGUACUCUACCAGUCUAGACCACUGGAGGGAAAGUCAAGCAGAGGCAUAUCCAUUCCAUUCCUAGUUUGGGCUAGAGAGUGGAAGGCAAUCUUCUACAAGU